CUUCAUGUUAAUCUCUUGCCUAAAAAGACAUUUCCAAAUCGAUCGCUUGGUUCCGACUUCCGUCAUCCUUAAAUUUAAUGAUUUUUGUACCUUUGGCGUUUAAAUAUUGGACUCCUAAAUUUUGGUUCUCUGAGCGGCAAUGAUAUUGGAGAAUUCUACUAGAACCGAAAUUGUUCUUAAUCACAAUCUCAGUUUUCUUGCAAGCAUCAUUUACCACAAAAUAAAUCGCACUAACUAAUAUGAAAAUUAUUAGACGACUCAUUUGUUUGAAUCUAAAGUAAUUGUCAGAGAAACAAGAGCAUCAACAUGUAAUAGUUU
rnacentral:sRNA from 1 species